UACGUAGGGGGCUAGCGUUGUCCGGAAUCAUUGGGCGUAAAGCGCGUGUAGGCGGCCCGGUAAGUCCGCUGUGAAAGUCGGGGGCUCAACCCUCGAAAGCCGGUGGAUACUGUCGGGCUCGAGUGCGGAAGAGGCGAGUGGAAUUCCUGGUGUAGCGGUGAAAUGCGCAGAUAUCAGGAGGAACACCGGUGGUGGUAGACGGCUUUCUGGACAAUCACUGACGCUGAGGUACGGAAAGCGUGGGGUAGC
rnacentral:rRNA from 1 species